CGCGUAGGCGGUUUUUCAAGUCGUAUGUGAAAACUUCAGGCUUAACCUGAUGAUUGCAUAUGAAACUGGAUAACUUGAGUACAGCAGAGGAAAGUGGAAUUCCUGGUGUAGCGGUGAAAUGUGCAGAUAUCAGGAAGAACACCAGUAGCGAAGGCGGCUUUCUGGGCUGUUACUGACGCUGAGGCGCGAAAGGCUAGGGGAGCGAACA
rnacentral:rRNA from 1 species